AUGGCCUGGACCCCCCUCCUCCUCGGCCUCCUGGCUCACUGCACAGGCAUUGUGUCCUCCUAUGAACUGACUCAGUCGCCCUCGGUGUCGGUGUCCCUGGGACAGACGGCCAGGAUCACGUGUGGGGGGAACAACAUUGGAAGUAAAUAUAUUCAACGGUACCAGCAGAAGCCGGGCCAGGCCCCUGUGCUGGUCAUCUAUGGUGAUGGCAACCGUCCCUCGGGUAUCCCUGACUGGAUAUCUGCCUCCAAAUCGGGGAACAUGGCCACCCUAACCAUUAGCGGAGUCCGGGCUGAGGACGAGGCUGACUAUUACUAUCAGUCAUAUGACAGCAGUUAUAAUCCUCAUGGUGACACAGGCAGAUGGAGAAGUGAGACACUAACCUCCCUGCCUGGCCGGGCGCUCACUCCACCCGCCUCGGAGCAGCUGGAGGGCAGGCCUGAGGCUUGGGCAUCCUCUCUGGUCCUGGCCCGGCUCCUCCAGGGCUGGACACUCUGUCCUCUUGGGGCCCUGGUUCGUCCUGAUGAAAAUGGAGAAAGGUGUCUGCUCUGA